rnacentral:rRNA from 1 species
CAAUCAAACCGGGAGAUAGCUGGUUCUCCCCGAAAGCUAUUUAGGUAGCGCCUCGUGAAUUCAUCUCCGGGGGUAGAGCACUGUUUCGGCUAGGGGGCCAUCCCGGCUUACCAACCCGAUGCAAACUGCGAAUACCGGAGAAUGUUAUCACGGGAGACACACGGCGGGUGCUAACGUCCGUCGUGAAGAGGGAAACAACCCAGACCGCCAGCUAAGGUCCCAAAGUCAUGGUUAAGUGGGAAACGAUGUGGGAAGGCCCAGACAGCCAGGAUGUUGGCUUAGAAGCAGCCAUCAUUUAAAGAAAGCGUAAUAGCUCACUGGUCGAGUCGGCCUGCGCGGAAGAUGUAACGGGGCUAAACCAUGCACCGAAGCUGCGGCAGCGAACGUAUCACCCAAGACAACUUUACGGAGUUGACGAUUGACGGAGCGAAGCGACGUCAAAGCGUUCAUUAAAGUCGAGUUGGCUUAGGGAUACGUUCGUUGGGUAGGGGAGCGUUCUGUAAGCCUGUGAAGGUGUGUCGUGAGGCAUGCUGGAGGUAUCAGAAGUGCGAAUGCUGACAUAAGUAACGAUAAAGCGGGUGAAAAGCCCGCUCGCCGGAAGACCAAGGGUUCCUGUCCAACGUUAAUCGGGGCAGGGU